CAUGUUUAUAGCUCUUAUUUGUUCUUCAGCUGCUAUUGCUGCUCCCCGUCGUGGACGAAACUCUUCAACAUCAGGAUUCAACGGUUGCUUCGAGUCAUUGAAAUCACAUUUCAACUCUAAAGGGUAGAGGUGUUGAGGGGUUCUCUCCAAAAUUCCAUUUCCCGUUUGAACCUUAGCGCCACGAAUUUCUCCAUCACGACCGAGUAUAAGACGAACUACUUUCCCGAGUUUCCAUAGAUUCCGAUUCUUUUCAUCACCUCUAAUUAUGACAAUAUCGCCGACCUCUGGUGAUUCGGUCUUCUUAUCUUGCUGUAGUAAUCGAUGUUUCUCGCGCAGACUUCGUACAUACUCUUUACUCCAUCUUGCCCAUAACGAAUCCUUCACUUUAGACAGAUAUCUAGCUCGCUUUCGUAACAUAGUUUCCUGGAGGUGAUGUGGCUCCAAUUCUAACGGCUGAGUAGGUUGAAGGAACAUAAAGGAAUUGGGUGUGAGUAGAGGGAGUUGGAUAUCAUCUUCCACAUAAUCUAACGGACGACCGUUGAUAGACGUCUCAACAUCCAAUACGAUCGCAGACAGCUCAUCAAAAUUCAAGGUACCGUUUCCAACUGUCUUGUGAAAUGCCGAAUUGAAAACUCCUACAAGUCUCUCAAAUUGUCCACCCCACCAGGGUGCUCUACUUAGGUUAAAUUUCCAUUCAAUGGAGUUCUUUGCCAAGUAAUUGUUGAUCUUCUCGUCUUUAUUGAUCAGAUUUAUCAAUUUUGCUGCCGCUUUAAAGGUACUACCAUUGUCAGAGUAAAUAAUUCUUGGUCUUCCCCGUCUUGCUACGAAUCUUAUUAAUGAUCUCAUGAACUCGUCCGUUUCCAAGGAAUGUAACAGUUCCAAAUAGACUCCUCGCGUCAGACUACAAGCAUAAAGGAUCAGAUAUGCCUUCCCAUCAGUGUUCGCUUUGAUUCUGUACUUUAUCGGUCCCGCAAAGUCAAUACCGACCACUGCAUACGGAGUUUCGCCUUGCGUACGACUGGUUGGUAGCUGUCCGGGGGGUGGCGAAGAAUACGAUGUAGCUCGAAACCGUACACAUCCAUAACAAGAACUCCUAACUAGCUUUACCAAUCGCCUUAACCUCGGAAUCCAAUACUGCUCUCGUAAUUUAGCCAUGGUAAGGGUUACUCCCCCAUGAAGAGUAUCCAAAUGGGCUUGGAAUACUAAUGCUUUCGUGUAAGAUGCUGUAUCCGGUAGAAAGAUCGGGUAUUGACCUUCGAUUCGUCCUCUGCAUUCUAGUACUCCCUCACUAUUCUUCUGAAUGUUAAAC